rnacentral:rRNA from 1 species
UUUGACGUUUAGCGACAGAAGAAGACACCGGCUAACUCCGUGCCAGCAGCCGCGGUAAUACGGAGGGUGCGAGCGUUAAUCGGAAUUACUGGGCGUAAAGCGCAUGCAGGUGGUUUGGUUAAGUUCAGAUGUGAAAGACCCGGGGCGUCAACCUCGGAAUAGCAUUUGAAACUAGGCAGACUAGAGUACUGUAGAGGGGGGUAGGAAGUUUCAGGUGUAGCGGUGAAAUAGCGUAGAGAUCUGAAGGAAUACCGGUGGCGAAGGCGGCCCCCUCGGACAGAUACUGACACUCAGAUGCGAAAGCGUGGGGAGCAAACAGGAUUAGAUACCCUGGUAG